GGCAAUUUUCCUCCAAGCUGACUAUAAACGCCGUUGAGGAUUUCUCUACCGAAGUGCGGAUGAUGUGCAUUCAGCAAACCAGCGGGAUAUCAAAGCAGACGGACUGCAAGCGUUUCAGUUGUUUUACCUUCGUUUUGUUUCUCCAGAAAGUAGACAUUCCUCGCUCGUACGGUGAGAACGGAGCUGCCAGACGUCGAGAAUAUUCUGGCCUUAAACCCUCGGGCGCAGACCUAUUCCGCACUCCACUCUACAACGAGGAAAAACUGGAGAAUUAUCGCUGGAUGAGGAAACCAGAGAAAGGCUGCGAGAGCUGCGUGAAGCUGGAGAACAAUUCUGACGACAUCAA